rnacentral:rRNA from 1 species
GACGAACGCUGGCGGCGUGCUUAACACAUGCAAGUCGAGCGGUAAGGCCUUUCGGGGUACACGAGCGGCGAACGGGUGAGUAACACGUGGGUGAUCUGCCCUGCACUUCGGGAUAAGCCUGGGAAACUGGGUCUAAUACCGGAUAUGACCUCCUAUCGCAUGGUGGGUGGUGGAAAGAUUUAUCGGUGCAGGAUGGGCCCGCGGCCUAUCAGCUUGUUGGUGGGGUAAUGGCCUACCAAGGCGACGACGGGUAGCCGACCUGAGAGGGUGACCGGCCACACUGGGACUGAGGCACGGCCCAGACUCCUACGGGAGGCAGCAGUGGGGAAUAUUGCACAAUGGGCGAAAGCCUGAUGCAGCGACGCCGCGUGAGGGAUGACGGCCUUCGGGUUGUAAACCUCUUUCAGCAGGGACGAAGCGCAAGUGACGGUACCUGCAGAAGAAGCACCGGCUAACUACGUG